rnacentral:lncRNA from 1 species
GACACAAUCACGGAAUACGGCACCUUUUUUAGAAGCAUUAAAAUUCUUAUUUGAAUCAAAUACAAAUCCUGCGCUGACUGGGUGAAGUGAACUCGUUAAUUAUUUUGGUAGCUUUGGACACUUUUUAAUUUGGGACCACAGGGUAAGUAGAUAUUUUCAAAGGCACUUAUAUAAUAAUAAUAAUCCAUUAAAAUCCACAAGAAUAACUAUUACUAACUUUAUUUACAGAUGCAGAGAGAAGUUUACUUGGCUCACUGUUGGGUUUCUCCUCCUGGAGAGGGACAAAGCUCUUGCACUUUGGAAAGUCAACAGAGCACGUGCAGUGACUGAGCAUCUUGUUUGGGAGAGGUUUUUAACAGCGCAUGACCAGUGUGAACUCCCUUCGUACAGGCUUUGGAUGAACCAAGAAGUGGCUUGUGCCUGUCUGUGGUAAGAUGACACCUCUAACGCUUUAAUACGACAUCUGCAAAAUGUUAAGUAUAAAAUACCAUAUUUAUUCAAAGUCACAGGAUAUUUACAACACCAAUGUCUCGUGUGGCAAUUUGUUCCCAGAACCUAUGUGGAAAAAAAUAAAUAUUUUGCUGAUAAAGUGGAAUGGGAUUGUCAUUUUUCUCUCCGUGUAAUAAAGCACUUCCACAGAGUCUGUUUGUACAACAUUCAUAGUCGCAGUGGUCUUCAUAUAUUCACGUUUGCCUGGUCCUAUAAGUGCUCCCCUUGCAAAUAUUUCAUGUCUGCGCAGAGGCAUGUGUGAAAGGGGCCGCUCUCCUUCAGGGGCCCACAGCUCAAGCCGAAGCCGGGCCUCGAGCUGAGUUUGACCUGCCUCAGCCUGACACCGGACUGCGUGGUCUGGAAGAUCUGUGAACAGAGAAGAGAGUACAUUUAUUGGUAGGCUAUUCAUAAAUGGACAUAUAAACAUGCAGGGGAAAACUGUGCAGUAACAUGUGUUUGAUGCCAACACUUUGGAGAUGAAUGCUACAUAUUGUCAUUAUCAAAGACCUACUGCAGGUAUUUUCCUUUUUGUUUUGUUUCAACAUUAAUCACCAAGAAGAUAGUUAAUUCACUUAGACGAAUAAAUAUACCAGUAAUGAGCUUACCGUGCAAUGUU